UGACCUCUGACCUCAAAUCAGGUAGGACUACCCGCUGAACUUAAGCAUAUCAAUAAGCGGA
rnacentral:rRNA from 2 species